UGCCAGCCGCCGCGGUAAUACGAAGGGACCUAGCGUAGUUCGGAAUUACUGGGCUUAAAGAGUUCGUAGGUGGUUAAAAUAGUUGGUGGUGAAAUCCAGAGCUUAACUCUGGAACUGCCAUCAAAACUUUUUAGCUAGAGUAUGAGUGAGGGCAUUAGUACUUAGCAGCUAGAGGUGAAAUUCCUAGAUUUGCUAAUGACUAACUACUGUGAAAGCAUUUGCCUAACUCAUUUUUGGUGAUCAAGUACUAAAGAGUGGGGAUCGAAGAGGAUUAGAUA
rnacentral:rRNA from 1 species